rnacentral:rRNA from 1 species
AUGGCGUCCUCCUCCAACUCCGACUCCGACGGCUGGGAGCCUGCCCCCGCGCCCCCAGGAGCGUUUCCGCCCCCGCCGCCGCCGGCGGCGGCGGCUCCUAGACCUCGUUCCCAGGCUCCUCCCCGUCACCAAGCUCCUACACCUCCUCCUCCCCGGGCUCCUCCCCGUCACCCACAUCCAUCUCAUUAUCUCAACCAACCAUCGUACACGUACAUGGCCUCCUCCCUCUACGCCCGUGCGCCAGUCUUCAGGUCCGGGCCCGUCGCCCCCUUCCCGACGGAGAGCGAGUUGAUCGCGUCGUACCCUCAGAUCGCUUGGGGAGCAUUCAGGUUCCAGCCCCCGACCUCGGCGUCGGCGUCUGCCCACGCUUCCUCCUCCAAGGCUUCCUCGAGGACGGGGAGGGGGUCGUCGAUCACCGAGUUCGCGCCUGUGUCGUCCUCCACGGGGGCUUCGGCGAGCUCCGCGCCGACCGCUUCCUCCGCGCUCGCGGCUUCGCUUGCCUCGUCCUCGACCUCCACGGGGACUUCGGCGAGCUCCGCGCCGACCGCUUCCUCCGAGCCCCCCGCGUUCGCGCCUUCACUUGUGUCGUCCUCGACCUCGACGGGGACUAUGGCGUCUACUAUUUCCUCCGUGCCCUUGGCUUCUGUGCUAGCUCCAUCCUCCUACUCCGAGUCCGCGCCUCGUCACGAGCAGACAUCCUCGGGAUUGGCGUCGUCCUCUUUCUGCUCGCCAGCACCCACCCCGGUCGCACGAUUCUUGGCGUCCUCUGCGCCGGCAUCCGCCACGGUCUCUAGGCCCGUCGUGGUCGCCCCCUUCGCACCCCAGGCGUCGAUAUCCUUACGCCCCUCGACGACGCCCUUGGCUGCCCACCACACGUACUCGUCGUCCAUGGCUUCCUCGGAGACACAGCUGAUCACCUCGUUUGCGCCUGUGUCGUCCUCGACGGGGACUUCGGCGACCUCCGUGGCCUGCGCUUCUGCGCUCGCCUCUUCUUCAGCUUCUGGCCAGCCGGUGUGGAAUUCGAUGUUUUGGCCGGGGGAAUAUUGGGAGAGGCCGGAAGAAAUGAUAUACCCCCAGCCACAGUCCCAGCAGCAAAACGAAGAGCAUGUCGAGGAAGAAGCCGCUGACACAGAGCAGGAGGAGAUAGUGCACCGUGCAGUGGAAUGGGUUCUUGAAGAGCCCUAG